AUGGAGGAAAAACCCUUGUUGCGUUUGGGAAGGCAGAGUUUUAGUUGCUUGGCUGCUCCUGGAGCUCUUCCUUGGGAGCAGGGAGAGCACAGCGAGGCUUUUUUUGAGACCCUGCCUUCAUUAAAUCCUGAGAAGUGUUCCGUGAUCCCUUUUUUUUCAUUAACAGGUCCUUUUUUACCCUGCCUCUUGACUAACUCGGCCCCACAGAACUCAUUCCCCUCGCUUUCUUCUUCUGGUCCCGUGUGAAUGAGCGAGGCUCCCGCUGAUCGCUUUAUCCUCUUUAUUAAGCCCGUCCCUGCAGAGACCAUUUUAAUUUAAUUCAACCUGAUAGCCAAGUCUCAAAUCCCCGGGACUCUCUCACAACGGUACCAUUUCCGACUAUUGGAUACAAAAGCACUUCUGUGCCAUACUCUUGCUUCCCUUCAAAUCAAAAAUAUCAAGAUCCAAUUUCUCUAAAUCAGCUUUUAGCUCUUGGACUUGUGCCUUUGCUAAGCAUAUGGUACUAGCAGCGAGCCCUAAAGAAAGUGCUGAGAAUUGCCCCUCCUUGUCAGAAUAUGUGACCGCGUUCAAACGUGCAUGCUAGACAGGAAAGGACUAAAAAAAUGCCUUCCCACAACACAAUUUAAAGAAACAUCGCUUGUCAGCCAUAUCUGAAGUUAAAAAGUUAACUAAGAAAAUGGUAAGAAAUUUCAUUCACUGGCAGAUACAUAAAUCAUCUCUCAGUUUUGUGGGUUUGUUAGUUUAGUCCAAGGAGAGGUAUUGCUAAAACCUACUGCUGAUGUUGGUAUGCGAGGUGAAAGGAAAGAGCAUCUAUCUGCUGGUCUGAUUGAAGCCACAGGACUGACACCACGCUAGGAUUUGGAGGGCAAAACAUCAAUGCUUCAGGCAGGUGGAUGGGCUAAACUGCCCAUUUAAUUAAAAAUAAAACCAGAAUGAGCACCUAUACAGGAAAAAAAAAAAAAAAAAAGAGAGAAAAAAAAAAAGAAAUUAACACAUAACUUAAAAACAGAAUAAAAUAAGUUAUGUCUCUGACGGGCCAGUAAUAACUUUUAUUUCACAGCAGCAAGGCAAACCUUGGAGAAGGCUGUGAUAUUCCAGGUUGCUGGUAGAUUGCGACUCCUCCUGGGAGUCCUUGUGCAGAAUCCUCGUCUGCAUCGCUGUUCACAUCUGGAUGUUGGAAAGCCUGUCAAAACAUCCCUAUUUUUGGUAUUAGGUCAUGUUUCAUGUGUGUGGCCGGGGCAGAAACCCGAAGCUCACUCAGCACAGAGGCAGUGAGAUACUCGAGCAUGGAAAAAAAGGGCAUUUUUAUUUGCUCCACUUGCUUUACACAAAGCCUUGCUAUUAGCCAGUGUGGAAGUGCAGCAGCAAGACUCAUGAUAAAACAACCUAACAGGCGAUGCAGUAUGAAGACAAAGAAAAUAUUGUAUACAUGAAAACAACAACCAAAACAAACAAGGCUUCUGCAAUACAACUUCGUUGGGUAAAUAUGUUGGAGCCUUUCCAGGAGAAUGGUCCCCUGCUGUUACCCUGCCAGAGGCUCUGUGCACACCAGGACUGCUGCCAGAUCUAAGAUAAAUGAACGCCUUAUUCUGUAGCCACCCAAAACACCAACGAGACGUGGACUGUUCACAUCCUGCUGUACAACCUGCAAGACUUUUGAAAGCUUGGCAACCCAGCAAAAGUCUGGGGCCACCAAAAGGAAACUCUUCUUCUUGGAGCCAGGGUAAGCUCUAGCUGCCUCAGUUUCAAAAGACCUGGUGACAACAAAGUCCAGUUUGGUUCUCAGAUUCCCCGAGUACAGCUUGUGAUGAUCAAAACCUGAAUUUAUUGCUUGUGAGCUGUGCUGGAGGGAGAACUCAGAAGAAUAAAUCAUCUCAUUGUGUACAGACAAGCUGCAGCAUGAAGAACAUGAAUGUAGAUGCAUGUUACAAACUAAAAUUUAAGCUGUGUCUUGUGGAAGAAUAAGACCUUGGUAAAACACCCCAGAAUCUACCGGGAUCAUCAGGAAGAGUGUGAAUUAGGGCAAAAUGAGAUGUAUUUCUGGAAUACCUAUUAAUCCACAAAGUAGACUGAAUCUAUAGUCAGUGCACUCAAGGCACCAAGCAGCCCUCUGUUAUUUUCUGUCUGUAUUAUCUUGUAAGAUCUCACAGUCUAGAAGCAAAAUACCUUUAUUUUCCUGGCCACCCAGGUACUCUGGGCUGGGCUCUUGGUUACGUACAAUUUGUUGCUGAAAUAGUGAUUAAUAUAAGAAAAAUGGCAAUAGAUUUUGACUUUCCUUUUAAUCUACAAUGAGUUAAAAUGACACCUUGGUCUUACUACAAACCACAAAGACAGAUUUUGAAGAUAGAGCUCGAGAAACCAAAAUGAAGUGUAUUCCGGAAUGUUCAUUUGCUUUUACAAUUCAUCAGCAAGCAUGAGGACCUGCUUCUAAUCUUAAAAUCUUUGCUGAGAUCUUAGCUAAAGAGUCAAAAGCAUUUCUCUGCCGAAGCAUAGAAAUGGUAUGGCUUCCGUGUUGCUUUCAUUAUGAGAUGUCCAAUCUAAGGUAGUUUUCUGGGUAAAAUUUAUAUCGUUCUUAGAUGUCAAAAUUAAUCCUAAUGCACUGCACACUCAUCUGAACGGCUGUAGGUUGCAAAGUGUCUUUGAAAAAGGAUAGAACGGACAUGUCAUGCAGCAACCGAGUAAAUGCAAUCCCUGAUUAAUAUGCAAGUUUUAAAAGUUCAGAAAAUGUCAUCAUACUCCAUAGGUGCUCCUGUUCUCGGAAAGGUCACUGUUUUGCUUGUGUAUAAAUGUCAUUCUACAUG
rnacentral:lncRNA from 1 species